CAGAGGGGGCAAGCGUUGUUCGGAAUUACUGGGCGUAAGGGGCGCGUAGGUGGCCUUCUAAGUUGAACGUGAAAUCCCUGGGCUCAACCCAGGAACUGCGUCCAAGACUGGGAGGCUUGAAUCCGGGAGAGGGAUGCGGAAUUCCAGGUGUAGCGGUGAAAUGCGUAGAUAUCUGGAGGAACACCGGUGGCGAAGGCGGCAUCCUGGACCGGUAUUGACACUGAGGCGCGAAAGCCAGGGGAGCAAACGGGAUUAGAUACCCCGGUAGUCCUGGCCCUAAACGAUGAAUGCUUGGUGUGGCGGGUAUCGAUCCCUGCCGUGCCGAAGCUAACGCAUUAAGCAUUCCGCCUGGGGAUACGGUCGCAAGGCUG
rnacentral:rRNA from 1 species